rfam:Dipodomys ordii contig_51347, whole genome shotgun sequence.
GGGAAUGUGGCUUAGUGGUAGAGCGCUUGCCUAGCAUGCAUGAAGCCCUGGGUUUGAUUCCUCAGCACCA